rnacentral:rRNA from 1 species
GAUGAACGCUAGCGGCAGGCUUAACACAUGCAAGUCGAGGGGUAUAGGUUUUCGGACCUAGAGACCGGCGCACGGGUGCGUAACGCGUAUGCAAUCUACCUUUCACAGAGGGAUAGCCCAGAGAAAUUUGGAUUAAUACCUCAUAGUAUAGCAGUUUCGCAUGAAACCACUAUUAAAGUAUCAACGGUGAAAGAUGAGCAUGCGUCCCAUUAGCUAGAUGGUAAGGUAACGGCUUACCAUGGCUACGAUGGGUAGGGGUCCUGAUAGGGAGACCCCCAACACUGGUACUGCGACACGGACCAGACUCCUACGGGAGGCAGCAGUGAGGAAUAUUGGUCAAUGGACGCAAGUCUGAACCAGCCAUGCCGCGUGCAGGAUGGCGGUCCUAUGGAUUGUAAACUGCUUUUGUACGAGAAUAAACAACAUUACGUGUAAUGUCUUGACGGUAUCGUAAGAAUAAGGAUCGGCUAACUCCGUGCCAGCCGCCGCUGUAAUAC